rnacentral:rRNA from 1 species
AGACAGCAGCCGCCGCGGUAAUACAGAGGGUGCGAGCGUUAAUCGGAUUUACUGGGCGUAAAGCGUGCGUAGGCGGCUUUUUAAGUCGGAUGUGAAAUCCCUGAGCUUAACUUAGGAAUUGCAUUUGAUACUGGGAAGCUAGAGUAUGGGAGAGGAUGGUAGAAUUCCAGGUGUAGCGGUGAAAUGCGUAGAGAUCUGGAGGAAUACCGAUGGCGAAGGCAGCCAUCUGGCCUAAUACUGACGCUGAGGUACGAAAGCAUGGGGAGCAAACAGGAUUAGAUACCCGGGUAGUCCCUGUCUCUUAUAC